rnacentral:rRNA from 1 species
GACGAACGCUGGCGGCGUGCUUAACACAUGCAAGUCGAACGGAAAGGCCCUGCUUUUGUUGGGUGCUCGAGUGGCGAACGGGUGAGUAACACGUGAGUAACCUGCCCUUGACUUUGGGAUAACUUCAGGAAACUGGGGCUAAUACCGGAUAGGAGCUCCUGCUGCAUUGUGGGGGGUGGAAAGUUUCGGCUGUUGGGGAUGGACUCGCGGCUUAUCAGCUUGUUGGUGGGGUAGUGGCUUACCAAGGCUUUGACGGGUAGCCGGCCUGAGAGUGUGACCGGCCACAUUGGGACUGAGAUACGGCCCAGACUCCUACGGGAGGCAGCAGUGGGGACUAUUGCACAAUGGGCGGAAGCCUGAUGCAGCAACGCCGCGUGCGGGAUAACGGCCUUCGGGUUGUACACCGCUUUCGCCUGUGACGAAGCGUGAGUGACGGUAAUGGGUAAAGAAGCACCGGCUAACUACGUG